rnacentral:rRNA from 1 species
GGGACCCGCACAAGCGGUGGAUGAUGUGGACUAAUUCGAUGCAACGCGAAAACCUUACCUACCCUUGACAUGUCUGGAACCUUGGUGAGAGCCGAGGGUGCCUUCGGGAGCCAGAACACAGGUGCUGCAUGGCUGUCGUCAGCUCGUGUCGUGAGAUGUUGGGUUAAGUCCCGCAACGAGCGCAACCCUUGUCACUAGUUGCCAUCAUUUAGUUGGGCACUCUAGUGAGACUGCCGGUGACAAACCGGAGGAAGGUGGGGAUGACGUCAAGUCCUCAUGGCCCUUAUGGGUAGGGCUUCACACGUCAUACAAUGGUCGGUACAGAGGGUUGCCAAGCCGCGAGGUGGAGCCAAUCCCUUAAAGCCGAUCGUAGUCCGGAUCGUAGUCUGCAACUCGACUACGUGAAGUCGGAAUCGCUAGUAAUCGCGGAUCAGCACGCCGCGGUGAAUACGUUCCCGGGCCUU